ACGCUCGACACCUACGGGAGGCAGCAGUGGGGAAUAUUGCACAAUGGAGGAAACUCUGAUGCAGCGAUGCCGCGUGAGGGAAGAAGGUUUUCGGAUUGUAAACCUCUGUCUUUGGGGACGAUAAUGACGGUACCCAAGGAGGAAGCUCCGGCUAACUACGUGCAAGAAGCCGCGGUAAUCUGAGGCGGGCUGGCAAGGC
rnacentral:rRNA from 1 species